UACGUAGGGUCCGAGCGUUGUCCGGAAUUACUGGGCGUAGAGAGCUCGUAGGUGGUUUGUCGCGUUGUUCGUGAAAACUCACAGCUUAACUGUGGGCGUGCGGGCGAUACGGGCAGACUUGAGUACUGCAGGGGAGACUGGAAUUCCUGGUGUAGCGGUGAAAUGCGCAGAUAUCAGGAGGAACACCGAUGGCGAAGGCAGAUCUCUGGGCCGUAACUGACGCUGAGGAGCGAAAGCAUGGGGAGCGAACAGG
rnacentral:rRNA from 1 species